rnacentral:rRNA from 1 species
CAGUAGCCGCGGGAAUACGAAGGGGGCUAGCGUUGUUCGGAUUUACUGGGCGUAAAGCGCACGUAGGCGGAUUCUUAAGUCAGAGGUGAAAUCCCAAGGCUCAACCUUGGAACUGCCUUUGAUACUGGGGAUCUUGAGUCCGGGAGAGGUGAGUGGAACUGCGAGUGUAGAGGUGAAAUUCGUAGAUAUUCGCAAGAACACCAGUGGCGAAGGCGGCUCACUGGCCCGGUACUGACGCUGAGGUGCGAAAGCGUGGGGAGCAAACAGGAUUAGAUACCCCCGUAGUCCCUGUCUCUUAUAA